rnacentral:rRNA from 1 species
GAUGAACGCUAGCGGCAGGCCUAACACAUGCAAGUCGAGGGGUAGAGGAAGCUUGCUUCCUUGAGACCGGCGCACGGGUGCGUAACGCGUAUGCAAUCUACCUUUUACAGAGGGAUAGCCCAGAGAAAUUUGGAUUAAUACCUCAUAGUAUCUUUGCCUGGCAUCGGGUGAUUAUUAAAGUUCCAACGGUAAAAGAUGAGCAUGCGUCCUAUUAGCUAGAUGGUAAGGUAACGGCUUACCAUGGCAACGAUAGGUAGGGGUCCUGCGAGGGAGAUCCCCCACACUGGUACUGAGACGCGGACCAGACUCCUACGGGAGGCAGCAGUGAGGAAUAUUGGACAAUGGGCGCAAGCCUGAUCCAGCCAUGCCGCGUGCAGGAAGACGGUCCUAUGGAUUUAAACUGCUUUUGUACGGGAAGAAACACUCCUACGUGUAGGAGCUUGACGGUACCGUAAGAAUAAGGAUCGGCUAACUCCGUGCCAGCCGCCGCCGUAAUAC